AUAGCAACAGCAGCGUAGCUGAACAUCUUACGGAUGGCCCAGGGCUCCAAAGGCUCGUUUCCUAAGUGAGAGAGAGCCUGGCUGAAGCUGUAUUACCAUUCAUUCUCCAGCCUCCGAAGUCUCAAAGCAUCACUUCCACCAUACUCUAACUGUCAAGACAAACACAAAGGCCCAGAGAAGGGGUCUCACUAUGUUGUCUGGAGUGCUGUGGUGGAGUGGAGUGGCUAUUCACAGCUGAGUUUGCAGAGUAAACCACUACCCUGAAAUCUGGAAAGGCAGGUGCACCCACAGAUCCUCAGCUGAGAUCCAAUUACCUGAAAUAGAAGCUGCCAUUAGGAACACUUAAAAGAGCCUGUUCUGCUGGGACACAGAAUCACUUGCUCCAUCUCAUACAUUGAUGAUGAUUAAUUUGUAUGUGUACCUUCCAAAAAAGAUGGUUGUGUUUGAAUGGAGGCCUUCUGGACAGGAAAAUAUGGAGAGUGCGUGCUUUGGAUUCAAGACUGGGAAUGAGGGGACCAGAAACCUAUUCUGUGGCUGUUUCUUGUUAGGACUUUCCUAAGCCUCUGGAAAAGUGCAAAGUACAAUUAACAUUUGAGUCUGUCUGAGUCAUGAAGAAAUGGAGAUUACUGAAAAUAAUUCAUUUUGGUAUCUUCUUACAUCCUGAGAGACUAAUCUUUCCAAGUUCAUCUGAGGCUCCUCUUCUCCAUGACAACCUCAUCCAGGGAUUUCUUCCUGUCCUGGUGUUUUAUGACAUAAUCACAUCCUUCCUGAGAUAAUGAGCACACAAUUGCCUGGAUACCUGAAGGAAUGGAGACAGCGGCAGAAAACACUGCAGAGAGGUGGAAACAUCCGUUAAUAUUUUAAAAUCCCAUUACUGCUACCAACAAUAAUAAUGGAUGCAUAGAAAUAGAUCUGGAUUAGCUGAGCUUGAAACAGUCCAUCUCACACACACACAAAAGAAUUUCAGAUACAGUGAACCCACAUGUUGAAGCUUUCUAGUAUAAUAAAAAUUUCAACUGUUCUGUUGAAUCAUCUGCCUGAUUGGAGGCUACAGAAAAGAUGUCAUCUUAGGAGUGCUUGCUCUGAGUGAGGCUCAUCUUCAAAUCUGAAUGACCACAAGGAGAUUUGAUUAUACAUGUGAACACCUCAGAAGGCACAGCCCACCCAGAAGGCAGACAGGUCAGGCUGCUUUUUCUUCAUUGCUUGGAUUCAAUCCUCCGGGCGGCUCAGGCUCAAACAUAACUUAAGCAUGAUUAAACUUUAGAAGAAGCUGCCAGGAAGACUGUGAAAUCUUCAUGCCCAAGGAUCCCUAAAAUUAGGAGCAACAACCACUUGGCUCAGACGGUUUAUGGAGGCAAAGGUUUGGAUGGGAUUAGAGAUUUCUAAAUGUGAGUUCGUGUCCUCUGCCAGACCACCUUACUUCCACCAUUCCUCAGCAAAUCAAGAAAAACAGGAGAAAAGACAUGCCUUUCCAUAAGUUAAAUCUAUUCUGUUUUAAUUCUAUAUUAUAUCUGCUGUACAACUUCUUUUGUUUGUAACACCAUAUUGUUGCUAGUAACUGGAAAUUAAUUUUCACAUGCCUCAGCUUAGAAAAAUAAAAAGCAGCCCUGCAUCAAUCCCAAU
ensembl:lncRNA LINC00635 long intergenic non-protein coding RNA 635